UACGAAGGGGGCUAGCGUUGCUCGGAAUCACUGGGCGUAAAGGGUGCGUAGGCGGGUCUUUAAGUCAGGGGUGAAAUCCUGGAGCUCAACUCCAGAACUGCCUUUGAUACUGAGGAUCUUGAGUACGGGAGAGGUGAGUGGAACUGCGAGUGUAGAGUUGAAAUUCGUAGAUAUUCGCAAGAACACCAGUGGCGAAGGCGGCUCACUGGCCCGUAACUGACGCUGAGGCACGAAAGCGUGGGGAGCAAACAGG
rnacentral:rRNA from 1 species